UCCCUGGUGGCUUAGCAGUAAAGAAUCUGCCUGCAAUGCAGGAGAUGCAGGUUCGAACCCUGAGUUGGGAA
rnacentral:tRNA from 1 species